rnacentral:rRNA from 1 species
AUACGUAGGGGGCGAGCGUUGUCCGGAAUGAUUGGGCGUAAAGGGCGCGUAGGCGGCCCGGUAAGUCUGGAGUGAAAGUCCUGUUUUUAAGAUGGGAAUUGCUUUGGAUACUGUCGGGCUUGAGUGCAGGAGAGGUAAGUGGAAUUCCCAGUGUAGCGGUGAAAUGCGUAGAGAUUGGGAGGAACACCAGUGGCGAAGGCGCCUUACUGGACUGUAACUGACGCUGUGGCGCGAAAGUGUGGGGAGCAAAUAGGAUUAGAUGCCCUGGUAGUCCACGCUGUAAACGAUGAAUGCUAGGUGUAGGGGGUAUCGACCCCUUCUGUGCCGCAGUCAACACAAUAGGCAUUCCGCCUGGGGAGUACGGGCGCAAGGUUGAAACUCAAAUGAAUUGACGGGG